AAAUAUAACGCACCCACGGGGAGUAGCGCCAUUUUAUUAAAAAUUGCCAAAAAUCCCUUAGAUAACAGUCAUGCAGAAUAUGUUAAAAAGCUUUUUAUUUUCAGCCAAUCAAAGAGCAGCACUACUGAAAUAGAACUCCCAGGAGGAGCAGCGUGUCACACAUGUGAUGUCAUAACCAUUGUCCACCAGAGAGCAGCACUGAGCAGAAAUAACACGGCUCCUGCUCAUUCUUCAUCAGUGAGGGGCUGAUGUUGGACACUGUAGGGACCCUGGAAUAUAGGUGUAUACACAUGACUGAUGCAGUAUUUCCAGGAUGUGGAGUCGCAUUUCCGGACUUACAGUAAGAUGACUGUAUUUCCAGGAUGUGGAGUCGCAUUUCCGGACUUAUAGCAAGACGUUGGAUGAAGGCCCAGCCCCAGGAAUCACGCACACACAGACACAUUGGCCCAAAUUCUAGAGGUAACCUCCUUUAGUAUGCCCAGAGGAAGGGCAAUACAGUAGCCAUGGAUUCCCUACAGGUUUCCUCCCCUCUGGAGGUUUUUCCUGUCCUGAGUUAGUUACUGUACGCUCUUUGUGAGUGAUGGGAGGUUACAAAAAAAUCCCGACACAAACAUUUUAGUAAAUAAUAAAGUUCCCCUUUUUAAACUGUUCUUUGACUUGUUUGAUUUAUUUCUGUGUGUGAAAAAUAGUGUUAGUAAAAUGGAUAGCAUGAGUUUUUUUUCUUAAGUGUCCAAAGCUGCUCUAGAGGUCAUAAGGUUGCAAAGGAUUAACUUUUGGGUAUGUGCACUGGCCGUUAAAGGGGUACUCUGCCCCUUUUAAGGGAUCAGAUGUCUGAUCACGGGGGUCCCCCAGUGAUCUCCAUGCAGUAAUCGUCCUUCUAAACAGUAUGUUUAACGUGCUGGGUUCCCAUGGGGGGGUCGUGAAAUCACGCCACCUCCCAUAGACAUGAAUGUAGGGGGCGUGGUGUGAAGUUUAACGGUGAGUGCGGGUAAACGUUUUUGCUUGCACUAGAGAGAGUUGUUGAUUUGAUGUUUCUGGUUCCCAGCACCGCCUGACUCAUUAGAAGGACUGAGGUCAGGCUGUGCUGGGAACCAGAAACAUCAAAUCAAUGUCCCACUGUGAGCUUCUUGGUGUGUAUAUAAGUAAAAGCAAUUGGCUGGUAGCCAUUACACAGAACUGCACUGACUUCUGGGAGUUGUAGUCUGGGCUGCAAACAAGGAAAUAUCAGGUCGCUCCCGGCGGCCAUCAACCGCCAGGACCCCCGGCUAGUACAGAUCGCGGUGAUGCCCAGUAUUAACCCUUCACAUGCGGCGAUCAAAGUUGACCUCCGUGUCUGAAGUGAAACCUAAAUCAUCCCGGCAGCUCAGUCUGGCUGUUCGGGACCACCGCGGUGAAAUCGCGGUGUACUGGACAGCUUGCAGGAACCAGGAGGAUCUGUACCUGUCUCCUGCGUGUCCAAUCGCCGUAUGGGGGCUAUAACACUGCAAAAAAAAAAAAGUGAAAAAAAGUGUUAGUAAAUGUGAUUUAACCCCUUCCCUAAUAAAAGUUUGAAUCACCCCCCUUUUCCCAUAAAAAAAAAACCUAUGUAAAUAAAAAUAAAUAUAAACUUAUGUGAUAUCGCCACGUGUGUAAAUGUCCAAACUAUAAAAAUAUAUUGUUAAUUAAACCGCACGGUCAAUGGCAAACAUGUAAAAAAAAUUCCAAAGUACAAAAUAGCGUAUUUUUCGUCACUUUUUAUACCAUUAAAAAACAAAUAAAAAGCGAUCAAACAUCCCCAUAUGCGGAAAAAUAAUAAAGUUAUAGGGGUCAGAACAGGACAUUUUUAAACGUAUCAUUUUCCUGCAUGUAGUUAUGAUUUUUUCCAGAUGCAAAUCAUAAAAUGUUGCAGUAUCUUGUAAUACCUUUUUUAUUGGACUAACAGGAUUCCGUAGAGACAAGCUUGUGAGCUUAGAUUUGCUUUGGACUUGAUAAAGGAAGGAAUCCCGAAAGCUUCUCUACAAAAUUCUGUUAGUCCAAUAAAAAAGGUAUUACUGGACUAAUAUGAUUUUUUGAAGAAGUAAGACAAAAUCUAACUUAUAUAAGUAGGGUAUCAUUUUAACCAUAUGGACCUACAGAAUAAAAAGGUGUCAUUUUUACCGAAAAACGCAGUGCGUUACAAAAUGGCGUUUUUUCCUCAAUGAUUUUUUUCCGUUUUGCCGUGGAUUUUGGGGUAAAAUGACUAAUGUCACUGCAAAUAAGAAUUGGUGGUGCAAAAAUAAGCCAUAAUAUAGAUUUAUAGGUGGAAAAUUGAAAAGGUUAUGAUUUUUAAAAGGUAAGGAGGAAAAAAACGAAAAUGCAAAAACUGAGUCCUUAAGGGGUUAAAGAGUUAUGGGAGUGAGGGGUAUUUAUCAUUUUUACCUGUUGUUAGUUUCUUUUUACCCAUUUUGUUUUUUACUUUGGUUUUUACCGUCCUUUAGUAACUUUGAUGAAUACCAUAUUCUUCCUUUGGUAUGUGUAUUUUCCAUGUCAGAAUAUUGUUGGCGGUGAUUUGCGUCAAUCAUGCGUCAAAAACAGGCAAAUUAGCGCCAAAAUACAAUUGACACAAUUGAUGAAUUACUGACCACUGCAAAAAUCAAACACAGGACCGUCAAAAUCCUAGCAAGCUUACAAUUUGACAGAGGUGGGAAUGCGCCAAAUAUUGAUGCAAAAAGAUGACAGAUGUCAGCUGCUAAUGAUUAUGGUGUGGACCUGAAUACCAAGCCUGCGCUGUACUCUCACCCGUUCAAAGUGCAGGUACGUCAAGGGCUGGGAAGGAGUUAAAUUAGUACAAUAAUAGAAAGGCAUGCAAACAUGGGUAUCAUUUUCAUGGUAUUGACCCACGGAAUAAAGAUAACAUGUCAGUUUUACCAUUAAGUGCACAGUGUAAAAACAACCCCCCUACCAAAUUUUGCAAAUUUCAAUUUCUACCUACAAAUAAUAUUUUUUAAUUGUUUUGCAGUACAAUUUAUGGUAAAAUAAAAGGUGUCAUUACAAAGUACGAUUAGUCAUGUAAAAAACAAGCCCUCAUAUGGUUCUGUAGAAGGCGAGGAGGAAAAAAAAGAGUGUACAAUUGAAAUUGGCCGUGUCCAAGGAACUAAAGCCAUAGCCCAUGCUUUCCCUCUCAUUAACUUAUUUAAUUGUCUAAAUAUAAUUCCUUAGCUAUAUAGAGCAGUUUCCCCUCUUUGGUUGUCACUUACAUGCAUGAAGUGAAUGAGAUUAUCAUACCAUCCACUCUGUCUCUGUCCAAAGCCCUCUCUGAAAGCAGCCCCCACCCUCCUGAGAUACACAGACCAUGUGGUUUAUGCUCUGCACUAAUGAGUCAUGCUCUCUUUAGUGCUGAGAAUUGAGAAGUGUGUGCAGCCUUAGCCAAUCAGACACUGAACCACUCUCUGCUGUUCAGAGCAGGAGGGUGGGGACUGGUAGCGCAGAGCUGCAAUGAUUGCUGGGAGAUAUAGGCAAGGGGAGGGAAUGAUGGCAAAGAAUAGCAAGCAGCCAGAGGAGACAACAGGGGCCACAGGAGCCAUGCAUAUAAGGCAGGAUGGUUUACAUGGAACAUAUCCAUGAAAUGUGGUGGGUUUGGAGCUUUAUAUAUAUACUUCCCUGGAGUACCCCUUAAAGGCCAAAAUAUGCCUCACAAUGAAGUUGUGAAGUUUAAAGCUGCUAUUCUCUUCUGCUGGUGGUUGUAGGAGGUUAUCAAACCAGUCAUGUGUACGAAGUGCCUAAUGUGGAUCGAUCAUUUCUUCUUCUUGGAAUUUUACCUGACAUUGCUCCUGUUGCUCAUCUGGUAUCUGCUGGGUACCUGAUGCUCACCCUGGUGCACUCCUUGGUACCUGAUGCCCACACUGGCGCACUCCUUGGUACCUGUUGCCCACCCUGAGCUGUAAGCAGGGCCGGCACAAGACAUUGAGCUGCCUGGG